rnacentral:rRNA from 1 species
ACGGGUGCGUAACGCGUGGGAGUCUGCCCUUUGGUCUGGGAUAACUGUUGGAAACGACAGCUAAUACCGGAUGAUGACGUAAGUCCAAAGAUUUAUCGCCAGAGGAUGAGCCCGCGUCGGAUUAGCUAGUUGGUGGGGUAAAGGCCUACCAAGGCGACGAUCCGUAGCUGGUCUGAGAGGAUGAUCAGCCACACUGGGACUGAGACACGGCCCAGACUCCUACGGGAGGCAGCAGUGGGGAAUAUUGGACAAUGGGCGAAAGCCUGAUCCAGCAAUGCCGCGUGAGUGAUGAAGGCCUUAGGGUUGUAAAGCUCUUUUACCCGGGAUGAUAAUGACAGUACCGGGAGAAUAAGCUCCGGCUAACUCCGUGCCAGCAGCCGCGGUAAUACGGAGGGAGCUAGCGUUGUUCGGAAUUACUGGGCGUAAAGCGCACGUAGGCGGCUUUGUAAGUUAGAGGUGAAAGCCUGGAGCUCAACUCCAGAACUGCCUUUGAUACUGCAUGGCUUGAAUCCAGGAGAGGUGAGUGGAAUUCCGAGUGUAGAGGUGAAAUUCGUAGA